CCUUUGUGAUAUGGAACCUUGUAGUGUUGUGAUAUGGAACCUUGUAGUGUUGUGAUAUGGAACCUUGUAGUACAAUUUCAGAAAGAUCCAUACACUUACACACAAGUUAUUGUCAUGAAACUAGAAAAAUGCUUGUUUUUGCCCCUUUUUUGGCCCCUAAUUCCUAAAAUUUUGAGGCAAUUACCCCCAUAAUCAAUCCCAGCAUUCCCUUUGUGAUAUGGAACCUUGUGGUACAAUGUCAGAGAGAUCCA
rnacentral:lncRNA from 1 species